rnacentral:lncRNA from 1 species
CGACGGCGGCGGCGGACGGGGCGGGGCGGGCCGGGGGCGGGGACGGAGCCGGCCGGACCGGGGCGGGAGUGGGGGCGGCGGGGACAGCUGCGGGUGGGUAAGGGUUCGCGGACGGGGCGGGGGAGACGGAGACGGCGGUGGCUCGGCCCUUGGGCCGCAACUUGGGCCCCGCUCCAGGCUGAGGGGACGCAGGCCCCGCGGCGACGGCGGGAGGGCCAGGGCUGGGCCCCCAACCCGCGGGACCCUGCCUUGGCCCUGCCGGCCACCUGGGCCUAGUCCCCGCCGGCCACCUGGGCCUAGUCCCCGACGCGCCCCUGCCGCCCACUAGAGGGCCGAGGUGUUGCCCCCGCGGACGACGGGCGCCUCGCAGGCCCAGCCAGUCCUCUCCGUCGAGGUGCGACACGCAGCGGGGCCUAAAGUGAAAGCUAGCAGCGGGUCGGGCCUGGCGCCCAGGUCACGGCCGGAGGGAGGACGCGCGCGCGCAGCCUGCAGACGGCGCGCGGACAGGGGACUCGGGGAGGCUCGAGGUGACCCCAGGGUCGCCUCACGCCGGCGGCUGGAGGUCGGGGAGUGGGAAGGCGCAGAGCAGGCCCUGGUAACCACUGGGAAUCCGAGCUGAGGGUCCGGGACAGACGCGACACCGCACCACCCGGGGCUGAGCUGAGCCUGGGUGAGAAAGGCCAUAAAUGAUUAUUCUUUCCAGACAUUUGGCAGGGAGAGGGAGAGAAAAGUAGGCCUGAGUCCAAAGGGUUGGAAGAGGAAAAAAGGGUAUUUGGGGUUUGGUUUUGUUUUUAAUUUGUUCCAGUUUGAGGGAGAGACCCGUAGAAUAGUAAAUGGUGCAAAGUCUCAGGAAAGGAGAUGGGAAGGGAGAGAGAGAAGUGAGAGAAGAGGGAACCUCUUCCUGCCAGAGUUAAAGGAUGCUUAGAGAUGAAAAGAUUUUGAAGUGAGGAAGCAGGCAUGUUCCUCUGACCAGCUGCCUGGAUCAUAAACCAGACUGUGCUGGGCACAGAAGCAGCCAAGAACUGAAGAAGGGGAAGUUCAUGUGUAAACAAGGCAAAGCGGCUGGAGGGAAGACUGGGAUGACCUGGACCUGACAUCAGCCUGAGAUGUAGGAUCCCAACACUGCCUUUCAGAACCCGUAUGUAGAAGAUCUCUCGUGUUUUCUCGAGAUUUGGACAUACAAAAGGACAGACACCAAGAAGAGCUUGCUAUCAUGGCUUUCCUCACAAUAGUCUGCCCUGUGCCCUCCAGGGUAUACUUUUAUUUUGCUUUUUCCUCCUUUACUUGGCCCAAGCUGGCUCUGCAGAGCCAGU